rnacentral:lncRNA from 1 species
CAGAACGCUUCAUGACCUUGCGUAAUGCCAUUGGCAUUUGUUCUCAAUAUUGAAAAUUAGUAUGUUGGGCACUCACUCCAAGGUAUCGCCUUUCAGUUCAUGAUCUUAAAUUGUCUUGGGUGUGAGCUUACAUUUUGCUGCAUCAUUCAUUGUUUCUCUAGACAUAGCUGCUUUGGGUCUUUCUUCAUGUCUUAUCCGAUGCAUUUCAAUUAUCUUAGCCUUUGUGUUUGGUUCAAUUUACACGUACUUCAUAGUGGUGGAACAAUUUUGAGUUGAGUCACCUAAUCAGGAGCAGGGGUAGUUGAAUAUGGUACUUAUUUUAGACUACAUGCUACAAUUCAAAAUUUCAAGUGCAUGUAGUCUUAGGCCAGGCUAGUUCUACAUCUCCAGGAAUUGAUUAACUACUCGAUGCCUGGUGGAAUGGACUGGUUUGGUCUCCCCGGUGGAAUUUUAUUAUUCUUUGGCGGUUAAAUAGACCUCGGAACAUCCUUGUUAUGUCUAGUACCCUAAAGUCACCUGACUUGGGAGUUACUGUCUAUUUUUCGACCAAGCGUUACUAUUGGGCAAGUCUUACGCGAAAACAAAAAACAAAAAAUAGCGUAGAAGUAUGGAAUGGUGCUAUAAGGGGAGAGUCGAAAUUUUUGCUUGCGAAUUUAAUCACUCCUCUAAUUUCUUCCCAUUAUGAAGUAUACUCAUCGCACAUCACUCCAUCACUUUGGCUAAUAUACUUGCAUAUUGCUAGAUUUACUUGAAUGCAUUGACUAAGAAAGCUUAUUGUCUUGUUCUAAUGGAUGAUUUCGGUGAUCUUAAUAUCACAUUAUCUUGGCUACAUGUUUUGCUUGAACUGGAGUCUAACAUGUUGGAGUGUGGGCACAUGAUUAUUUCUUUUCCUUGUUGUGCACAUAGAACGCGCAAGGCUGAGUGUUAUCACAAUGUCAGUCCAUUUUGUUUUGUCGCAAUUUGUCUCUCUAGCUUAAAUUUAGAUGUUCUCUUCGUAAUCAGUCGUAGGGUUUUAUCUCUUAGUAAUUUUGUUUUUUUUUCUUGCUCGAUUUGCAUUUUAGAUAGAAAUUUAGUUUUUUCC